UGGGUUUGAUUCCAAGGAUGAAUUAAAUUAAAUUAAUGAUCCAAGUAAUUAUGAGAGAUUUAAUUUGAGAUCUAAUUACUUUAGAUCAGAUCUAAUUUAAUUAGACUUAAUUUUAUUAAGACUUGAUUAGAUUAAUUUAUCAAGUUGGACUUGGAUAAAAAUCCUAAUUAAAUUAAGAUUAGUAGCUUUUUCGAAAUUGAUUCGAAUAGAAUUUGGCUUCGAAUUGAAUCCAAAUCUGAAUCAAAUCUAAUUUGAUCCACUUAGCUAUAUUUUUUUGCUAUUCUCUCACCAUGUGUGUUGACUUAGGUGGUUGGAAAGGGGCUUGAAACAGCCCUCUCCCCUUGGGCAUGCGGCACAAUGAAGGGAGGCGUAAGUUGGCACCUCUCCUAUUUGGUUUAGAAAUCCUUAUGUUUUAGAAAGUUUGGAUUUGAUUUAAACAUGGAGAAUCUUAUUCCUAACAUAAGAAGAUGUUUGAUUUGAUUUAGGAUCUCUUAUCUAUUUAAGGAGGGGUAUGGAGGAGUAAAGCAACCAACCAUCCAAUCUAAGCGUGAGCAAGGCUUGGGCGUCCCCUCUCUUUGGGUGUCAUCUCUCUUUGGGUGUCUCUCUCCUCUUGGCAUCCUCCCUCCCUUUAUGAUGGUGUGUGGGCUGUUCUGAGGCCUUAAGAUCAGAUUUCAAGGAUUCUUCUCCUUCCUCUCUAAAGAGGAUGUCCAUCCCUCUCUUCUACAGAGUUUGGCAUGCAUACCUCUCUUCUACAGAGUUUGGCGUGCAUACCUCUCUUCUACAGAGUUUGACGUGCAUGCGAAGUAGAGGAUCUGCACAUCUAGAUCUCACGAAGCAAAUCAAUCAAGGAGCUUCUUCAACCUUGAUUAUUUUUCACUACAAAUCAAGGUAAGAUUUCAUAAACAUUAUGAAAAAAAUUUUAAUUACUAAUCUAUUCAUCCCUCCUGGCAUCCCAUGCGAUCGGAUGAAUUUUUUCUUCAUCUGUCAGAGCUGCACAUACAUCCAGUCUCUACUGGUAUCCAUAUGGAGACGGUCUGAUCGAAGCACCGAGGCCACCGGAGUGCUAUCACCUUGCAGGGGUUUGCCCCUUUGACGUUGUCCUCAGCCUCCACUCAACUUGUCUGAGGAUAAUGAGUGAUAGUUGGCCAUAUCAAG
rnacentral:lncRNA from 1 species